rnacentral:rRNA from 1 species
ACGAACGCUGGCGGCGUGCUUAACACAUGCAAGUCGAACGGGCCCGCCCCUGUUUUUGGGGGUGGGUUGAGUGGCGAACGGGUGAGUAUCACGUGAGUAACCUGCCCCCUGCUCCUGGAUAACUGCUUGAAAGGGCGGCUAAUACGGGGUGUGCCGGCUGGUCCGCAUGGGCCUGGUCGGGAUAGUUUCAUCUUCGGGUGUUUCGGUGGGGGAUGGGCUCGCGGCCUAUCAGCUUGUUGGUGGGGUGAUGGCCCACCAAGGCGGUGACGGGUAGCCGGCCUGAGAGGGUGGGCGGCCACACUGGGACUGAGACACGGCCCAGACUCCUGCGGGAGGCAGCAGUGGGGGGUAUUGCACAAUGGGCGGAAGCCUGAUGCAGCGACGUCGCGUGAGGGAUGGAGGCCUUCGGGUGGUGAACCUCUUUCUCCGGUGGUGAAGGCCCUGUCCGUUGCGGCGGGGUUGACGGUAGCCGGGUAUGAAGUGCCGGCUAACUACGUG